rnacentral:rRNA from 1 species
CCUACGGGUGGCAGCAGUAGGGAAUAUUGCUCAAUGGGGGAAACCCUGAAGCAGCAACGCCGCGUGGAGGAUGAAGGUUUUCGGAUUGUAAACUCCUUUUGUUAGAGAAGAUAAUUACGGUAUCUAACGCCUAAGCACCGGCUAACUCCGUGCCAGCAGCCGCGGUAAUACGGAGGGUGCCAGCGUUACUCGGAAUCACUGGGCGUAAAGAGCGUGUAGUCGGGUUAGCAAGUCAGUUGUGAAAUCCUUUGGCUUAACCUUAGAACUGCAUUUGAAACGGUUAUUCUAGAGUAUGGGAGAGGUAGGUGGAAUUCUUGGUGUAGGGGUAAAAUCCGUAGAGAUCAAGAGGAAUACUGAUUGCGAAGGCGACCUGCUAGAACGUAACUGACGCUGAUGCGCGAAAGCGUGGGGAGCAAACAGGAUUAGAUACCCGAGUAGUC